CACGUAGGGGGCGAGCGUUGUCCGGAUUUAUUGGGCGUAAAGAGCUCGUAGGCGGUUCAGUAAGUCGGGUGUGAAAACUCUGGGCUCAACCCGGAGACGCCACCCGAUACUGCUGUGACUCGAGUCCGGUAGGGGAGUGUGGAAUUCCUGGUGUAGCGGUGAAAUGCGCAGAUAUCAGGAGGAACACCAGCGGCGAAGGCGGCACUCUGGGCCGGUACUGACGCUGAGGAGCGAAAGCGUGGGUAGCAAACAGG
rnacentral:rRNA from 1 species